rnacentral:rRNA from 1 species
UAGGGAAUCUUCGGCAAUGGACGGAAGUCUGACCGAGCAACGCCGCGUGAGUGAAGAAGGUUUUCGGAUCGUAAAGCUCUGUUGUAAGAGAAGAACGAGUGUGAGAGUGGAAAGUUCACACUGUGACGGUAUCUUACCAGAAAGGGACGGCUAACUACGUGCCAGCAGCCGCGGUAAUACGUAGGUCCCGAGCGUUGUCCGGAUUUAUUGGGCGUAAAGCGAGCGCAGGCGGUUAGAUAAGUCUGAAGUUAAAGGCUGUGGCUUAACCAUAGUAGGCUUUGGAAACUGUUUAACUUGAGUGCAAGAGGGGAGAGUGGAAUUCCAUGUGUAGCGGUGAAAUGCGUAGAUAUAUGGAGGAACACCGGUGGCGAAAGCGGCUCUCUGGCUUGUAACUGACGCUGAGGCUCGAAAGCGUGGGGAGCAAACAGGAUUAGAUACCCUGGUAGUCCACGCUGUAAACGAUGAGUGCUUGUUAGACCCUUUCCGGGGUUUAGUGCCGUAGCUAACGCAUUAAGCACUCCGCCUGGGGAGUACGACCGCAAGGUUG